rnacentral:rRNA from 1 species
CAUGCAAGUCGAGCGGGGAARGGUAGCUUGCUACCUGACCUAGCGGCGGACGGGUGAGUAAUGCUUAGGAAUCUGCCUAUUAGUGGGGGACAACAUUCCGAAAGGAAUGCUAAUACCGCAUACGCCCUACGGGGGAAAGCAGGGGAUCUUCGGACCUUGCGCUAAUAGAUGAGCCUAAGUCAGAUUAGCUAGUUGGUGGGGUAAAGGCCUACCAAGGCGACGAUCUGUAGCGGGUCUGAGAGGAUGAUCCGCCACACUGGGACUGAGACACGGCCCAGACUCCUACGGGAGGCAGCAGUGGGGAAUAUUGGACAAUGGGCGAAAGCCUGAUCCAGCCAUGCCGCGUGUGUGAAGAAGGCCUUUUGGUUGUAAAGCACUUUAAGCGAGGAGGAGGCUACUUAGAUUAAUACUCUAGGAUAGUGGACGUUACUCGCAGAAUAAGCACCGGCUAA